UACGUAGGGGGCAAGCGUUGUCCGGAUUUAUUGGGCGUAAAGAGCGUGUAGGCGGUCAGGUAGGUCCGUUGUGAAAACUCGAGGCUCAACCUCGAACUUGCGGUGGGUACGGGCAGACUAGAGUGUGGUAGGGGAGACUGGAAUUCCUGGUGUAGCGGUGAAAUGCGCAGAUAUCAGGAGGAACACCGAUGGCGAAGGCAGGUCUCUGGGCCACUACUGACGCUGAGAAGCGAAAGCAUGGGGAGCGAACAGG
rnacentral:rRNA from 1 species